GAUGAACGCUGGCGGCGCGCCUAACACAUGCAAGUCGAACGAUUAAAGCACCUUCGGGUGUGUAUAAAGUGGCGAACGGCUGAGUAACACGUGGGCAACCUGCCCCUCUCAUUGGGAUAGCCACGGGAAACCGUGGAUAAUACCGAAUACUUCGGGACUUCCGCAUGGAAGACUCGAGAAAGCUCCGGCGGAGAGGGAUGGGCCCGCGGCCUGUUAGCUUGUUGGUGGGGUAAUGGCCUACCAAGGCAAUGAUGGGUAGCUGGGUUGAGAGACCGACCAGCCAGAUUGGGACUGAGACACGGCCCAGACUCCUACGGGAGGCAGCAGUGGGGAAUCUUGCACAAUGGGCGAAAGCCUGAUGCAGCGACGCCGCGUGCGGGAUGAAGGCCUUCGGGUUGUAAACCGCUUUCAGCAGGGACGAAGCGAAAGUGACGGUACCUGCAGAAGAAGCCCCGGCUAACUACGUG
rnacentral:rRNA from 1 species